GCGGCCUAUCAGCUUGUUGGUGAGGUAAUGGCUCACCAAGGCGACGACGGGUAGCCGGCCUGAGAGGGCGACCGGCCACACUGGGACUGAGACACGGCCCAGACUCCUACGGGAGGCAGCAGUGGGGAAUAUUGGGCAAUGGAGGAAACUCUGACCCAGCGACGCCGCGUGCGGGAUGAAGGCCUUCGGGUUGUAAACCGCUUUCAGCAGGGAAGAAGCGAAAGUGACGGUACCUGCAGAAGAAGCACCGGCUAACUAUGUGCCAGCAGCCGCGGUAAUACAUAGGGUGCAAGCGUUGUCCGGAAUUAUUGGGCGUAAAGAGCUCGUAGGUGGUUCGUCACGUCGGAUGUGAAACUCUGGGGCUUAACCCCCGACCUGCAUUCGAUACGGNCGACCUUGAUUAUGGUAGGGGA
rnacentral:rRNA from 1 species